GUAGCUGCUGUCAUAGCUGUUCCUUCUGCGAGAGCUGCAAGGAGGCCCGCUGUACUCCAUCUGGGAGGGAGAGAAAUCCCAGUGAGGUCAGACUUUUACCCAAAUCCCAGUAACCAUCUAAUUACAUAUUUCAGGCUCUGGUCUGUGCCAUCAUUCCAGUCCUGGCUGAAAUGCCAUCAAGUUGUAGAUUCUUUGAGUAAUGAAGAACAUAUCUUGGCUGGAAGGGGAUCCACCCCAGAAUAUUUUACGUGGCACAACUGUUCCACAGGAAAGUUACCACUAUUGCAUCAAAUGCUGCUUUACAGAUGAGAUGAGGCUUUCCAGCAUUCUGAUCAGAUACAGCCCUUCAUGUAUCUUUAGUUUACAAGAGAGGGACUGAAAGGAGAAUUAUGUCUUUUUAAUUUAGUUUUUGAAGAUUUUUCUAAAUAUUAAUUCCUCUUUAGAAGUCUCUGUCUACCUCGUCCCUUUAUAUUUUCUUCAGUUUGUCUUCCCAUUUCCAUUUCGUAUAAAAAAUGCUCUAGAACAAUGACUAAUAUAUGUUUCCAAUACUUUAACCCACAGUGAAACUCCUCUAUUAAAAGAGGCUGUAUCUUGAAGAGGAAUCAUUUGUGUAAAUCUCUCCAAUCUGUUAAGUAUCUCAUAAUCACAGAUACUCAACUCUGUAAUGAUUAUCCCCACCAGAGCACAAAAAGCAAUUUCUGGUCUAAAAGUAUAGUUCAUGGCCUAUCCAGAGAGCUGUCCUGGACUCUAGUCACCGUAUCCCACCAGCCCAGAGUUAGACCAGAGGCUGAACUUACAGGCCGAGCCAAAAUAUGUGGUCAUGAGGCACCCUCUCUGGCACCCACCCUUCUUCUCCCAUGCCCAUAAUGUACAAACAGGACUGAAAGCCUGGAUUCUCCUUCCUAUUGCUUGUAAAUAUCGGGGGGUGGAUGAAGUGAAUGAGAAGAGAAACAGAGAAUCUUUUUCUUAAGGGUCAAGAAAAACAAUUCUUGUUGCUUAUACCCUCCUCCUGUUGUCAUGAUGAAUGGCAGAAAACAAAACCCAGACUCUUACCAAUUCCCGUGUAACUACCAUGUCCUUUGAAGGAUUCAAAGGUAACCAUACAGCAAAAGAUGGAAACAGAGAUGCCUCAGGAGCUAUGGGAGCACAGGCACUGCCCCCAAGGUGCCCAUUCCAGGCAGCUUCCCAAAGUCCGCCCCCAGAAGCUUUGCCCUGGCUCCUCCAGGAUAUGGGGAACCUGCCUAACUUCUUAUUCCAGGGAACAAAGUGUUUAAGAGAUUCUUCUUCUUUCCCUUUUCCACUUUUUCCAAGUGGGGACCCCACCUCCCUUUGCUGCGGGUGCUCAAGGCACAAGAAAGGACUUUGUCAUCUGCCUGGGGAGGUACAGAAGGCAGCUGUUGUAGGAAGGGUAGGAAGAGGCCACCCUCCCUGCUCAGGUUCGGACCAACAGCGUCCAGGGCACCUCGGUGGCAGGGAGCCCUCCCAGGGGCACUCACCAUGCCAUCAGAGCAGUUGGAGCGGGGGCUGGAGGCAUCCGAUUCCCCACUGUAGUGCUCCAGCACCGGGUAAUAAGUGUCCUCCUGCUCCCGCAGCAGGGCCUGCAGGCUCUCAAUGUAGCGGAUGGCAUUGCGGAGGAUCUCCACCUUGGGCAGGCGCUGGUUGGGGUUAGUGGAGGUGCAGCGCUUGAGGGUCUCAAAGGCCUCGUUGACCUUGCUGAGCCGCCGGCGCUCCCUCAUAGUGGCGGCCUUACGGCGGUCGGCGUUGGUUGUCUUCCUCUUGCACGCCUUGCACGCCCACAGCAGGCAGCGGCCAGCCUGGUGGUGCCCGCUGGGCGCCCGCACGUGCUCCUCCUCGUGCCCGUGGUGGUGCGGGUGCUCCUCGGGCUUCAGCAGACCCCCGACGUGCACCAGCCGGGGGUCCAGGUCCUCGAAGAAGUGCAUGUCCGACGUAUUGAAGCACGGGUCAUCGUAGAAGUCAUCGGCGGCUGUGAAGGAGCAGAGGGAGCCCUCUGUCAUCUCCAUGGGGCCCAGGAAGAAGCCCCAGCCCCUGGACAGGUCUGAGCGCGGCUCUGCGGCCACACGGGAUGUGAUUGAAAAGGAAGCUGGGAAGGCAGAAGCAGAUUGUACUUCCUACAUUGAGAAACAUGGGUAGACCCAUCGUAUACACAGCUGACAGGCAGUGGGCCCAGAAAGUGUCACAGCAAAGUAAAAGGGAGAGAAAAAGACUUAAAUUCCGAGAGUGUGUGGAUACUUUUGGUUAGAAGAUGAACAUGAGAAGUCUAAGAAACAGACAUGGCGCUACUUCAUGGAAAAAUAAGAGGCAAGGAUACGGAUUUGUCUUUCACCAAGGUGCUGCUGGCUGGUUCACUGCCUGCUGGAGGCUGUAUCUAAGACCUGGUUUAACCUGAAGCAUGCACUUCCUCAGGAGGUCUGCAGCAGGGCUGGAGGACUGCAAACACUGCAUCCCUUCCCUUCUGUCACCCACUUCCACACGGCUGCACUGCCUGUGCUGUGCUCUCAGCUCCCUCACCCUGAAAUGUUCCUCAUGAUGGUUUGUAGAGAGCUGCCUUGGAGCAGGCUUUGCUUUUGGUGGCAGUAUCUCUUGUUGCCAUGUCGUUUGUGAAGAAGAUGGCUUUAUCCUUGCCUUUCUUCCACUGGGACUAGCUGCUCUACCCACAGGCACCAAAAGUGGCAAAUCUUCCAUGAUCUUUUAAAUUUUUCAAUUGAAGCUCUACAUCACAUGAACUUCUUGGUUUUUUUUGAGAGGUAAAGACUUCUUUCUCUCUCUCUCUGUCUCUCUCUCUCUCUUUUUUUUUUUUUUUUUUUUUUUUUUUUUUUAGAAA